CCUGGCACCCCAUGUGUCAUCAUCCCACGUUGCUUAAUGUUCCUGAUAUACCAUCUCCUAUGUGAUGGUUGUCAUGAACGGACCGGCCGAGAAGUACGUCUCGUUUCCAGUAUGCCGCUGUUUCGCAUAAACAAUGUCGUCUGCUACCGCGAGCAUACAUAUCGAACGCUGACGCAUAAUAGUUUCACGCCCAACUUGCAAAAUAUGGCCCGCGUGGUAUUGUAUCCGAUGUCGCCUUUUAGGGCAGCUGACCUAUUAAACUACGCGGCGCGUUGACACGGCAAGUCGACGAUGAAGCCUAUCAGAAUAUCAAACGGCAGCCCGGCAGCUGUUCUAGUCGCACAGCAUCGGGCAGCCCUAGGAAACGCCGGCUUAACUACGCGAGUUACGACGCCGAAGAGUAUGACCACGGCCGGAGCCUGUUAGGUUCCAUGUUAUUCGUGACCUGCAACCUCCGAAGUUAUAAGCCGGAAGUGCUCACUGUGAAGACGCUCGACGAUUUCGCGGAAGUCAGCGGAAAACAGGAAGAAAGUGGAGACCAUCACCUGUUCCUUGUUGUAUUUCGACAUGCUUUCUUUAGAAGCGCCCAAGCCAGAGCCUCCCAGCAAACAAACCCAAUACGACCACAAUUUCUACUGAAAAGGAUCUUUUAUAGUGCCAAAUCGAGGGGAAGCCGGACCUAAAGAAUAUAUGCGUCUGUUGCAUGAACACCCGCAUGUUGGGCUGUGAUGGGUUAUGUCAUACCUUUAGGAUCGUGUCUUCCCGUUCACACUUAAGCUGUUCAUCUCGCACCAUCACCGAAGCUACCACAUCGAACAAAAUAAAGUUAUAUAUGUUGUUUGAAAUACAGUGUCGCUUGAAUUUUAU
rnacentral:lncRNA from 1 species